rnacentral:rRNA from 1 species
UGGCGGCGUGCCUAAUACAUGCAAGUCGUACGCUUCUUUUUCCACCGGAGCUUGCUCCACCGGGAAAAGAGGAGUGGCGAACGGGUGAGUAACACGUGGGUAACCUGCCCAUCAGAAGGGGAUAACACUUGGAAACAGGUGCUAAUACCGUAUAACAAUCGAAACCGCAUGGUUUUGAUUUGAAAGGCGCUUUCGGGUGUCACUGAUGGAUGGACCCGCGGUGCAUUAGCUAGUUGGUGAGGUAACGGCUCACCAAGGCCACGAUGCAUAGCCGACCUGAGAGGGUGAUCGGCCACAUUGGGACUGAGACACGGCCCAAACUCCUACGGGAGGCAGCAGUAGGGAAUCUUCGGCAAUGGACGAAAGUCUGACCGAGCAACGCCGCGUGAGUGAAGAAGGUUUUCGGAUCGUAAAACUCUGUUGUUAGAGAAGAAUAAGGAUGAGAGUAACUGUUCAUCCCUUGACGGUAUCUAACCAGAAAGCCACGGCUAACUACGUGCCAGCAGCCGCGGUAAUACGUAGGUGGCAAGCGUUGUCCGGAUUUAUUGGGCGUAAAGCGAGCGCAGGCGGUUUCUUAAGUCUGAUGUGAAAGCCCCCGGCUCAACCGGGGAGGGUCAUUGGAAACUGGGAGACUUGAGUGCAGAAGAGGAGAGUGGAAUUCCAUGUGUAGCGGUGAAAUGCGUAGAUAUAUGGAGGAACACCAGUGGCGAAGGCGGCUCUCUGGUCUGUAACUGACGCUGAGGCUCGAAAGCGUGGGGAGCAAACAGGAUUAGAUACCCUGGUAGUCCACGCCGUAAACGAUGA